GAGACUAUCAGAGAUAUGAGUAUGGACUUAUCACAGUGUUUUGGGUUGAGAAUCAGUGGAUCAACUCAGAAUUCAAGGUUUGAUACCUGGGCAUUGUCCUAUGUUGACCUUGGUUACUUAGGUAUCAGGGCUUCUAGCACUCCAAACAUGCUCAUGAUCCAAAAGAUUUCUGAAAAAAGCUUGUAUAUACUGAUAAGAAAUGCUUUAUGUGCUCACUUUUUAAGCAUAUGCUUAGUUGCUCAGUUGUGUCUGACUCUCUGAGAUUCUUUGCAACCCCAUGGACUAUAGCCCACCAAGUCCUCUGUCCAUGGGGUUUCCCGGGCAAGAAUACUGGAGUGGAUUGCCAUUUCUUCCUCCAGGGGAUCUUCCUGACUCAGGGAUCGAACCUGUGUCUCUUACAUCUCCUGGACUGACAGGCGGGUUCUUUACCACUAGCACUACCUUGGAAGCCCUAAAAAUCUAGAGCUGUAUCCUUGACCUUUGGGGAACUUUUCUCAUGUGUAAAAAUGAAGUAGUUGAAGCAGAUUUUCUGACUUUAUAGACCAAGAAAAUUUAAAUCAGGAAGAUUUUUUUUUAUAAAUAUCUGAAAAAUCUGUGAGGAGAAUAUUAAAGUAUCAUCUUAAUGAUCUCGAACCAGAAACAGAGAGUUCUAUCUUUUCAUGUGGAACAAAAUGAAAUUCUUCUACCUUGGAGAUAAGCAGAGCCCAAGGCCCUUAAUCUCAGCAACACAGUGUAUCCAAGACCAGUGCACUCAAGGAGUGUGGCACCUAAAGAUGAAAAAGCAAAGUGCCAUUCAUCUAUUGCUUUCUGCAUCACUGCACAGCUUCUAGGUCUUAAUACCUCUGACCUAUGGCCUGAGAUCCUUAUCUGGUUGACUUCCCUUUAAUCUCUUUCUCACCUCUCCAGUAAAUCCUCCAUACUGACUCUGGUUGUGCAUCUUUCCAGAACAAAGAUCCAUCAUGACAUUCUUCCUUCAUUGGAUUUUUGCAUCGAGGGAAAAGAAAAAGAAAAAAAAAACAAACUUGUCUGCUGGCCAAUCAUUUAAAACCUUCCACAGUCUUCUCUUGACCUGCCUUUUCAAAUUUGUCUUCUUUACUCCCUGUGUUCUGUACAACUCCACAAUGUUGUAGCUACUGUUCUGAAUGCAUUCUGCUUUCAUACUUUCUGAGUCAAGCUCAAGCUUGCUUCUCAACCUCACCACUAACCCCAUCCCUUUACUGCCAUUCUGACAGUGGGGUCCUACCCACCCUCCAUGACCUUGUUCAAAUAAUUUCCUACAGAACCCUCCUAGACCUCUGCAGUUGGAAAUAAUCUACCUUUGCUUUUAUUCCCAGAGCACUUUGAACCUUUUCCAGAAAACUCUUAUAACAGCUGGCUGCUUUGUCUGUUACCCUCACUGCCUGUCUCUCACAGGAUGAAAAGCGUGUGUGCCUUAAUCAUCAUCAUGACCCCAAUAAUGCCUAGCAUAGUGUGAAUAUUUGAUGAGGAUUCAGAAAACAUUUGGUGACAACCAAAGGUAAGAUUAUAGCCAAAAUAUCAUGCAGGAGGUAAUACCAAACAUUUUGUUAGUUUUAAUGGUAACUUUAUUUCUGGCCUUAUUUGUAAGACUAUUUGGCGAUAAAGAACACGGUAGAUAAAACAUUUCUAUCCCCUUUAUUCAAGAUAGCCAUUCUAUCUGUUUAUACUAAUAAAAUAAAAUCUUUAUUAGAGGACUCGGAGUUAAGUAGAAGCAGUUGAUAUUAGCAUUUAAAUAGAAUUUGGUGUUACCCAGAUAUAACACAAAUUUGUAGUAUAUGACAAUUGAGAGUCAGUUCUCCUACCAUAGUGUAAUAUAUUUUUUAGCUCAUUGACCAGGAGUCUUCCUUGUUUGCUUUUAGAACACUCUCUCCUGUACCACGGCCAACAGGCCAGAGAGAGUUGGUAAAGACUACUGGUAACUAUCACUUAUGUAUCAUUUUAUCAUGUUCUGAGCACUUAAAUGUAUUUUAGGUUAUUUAAUCUGUCUGAAAUCUCUUCAAGGCAGGACUUGUUUCCUUUCUUGAGUGAGGAAUCUCAGGCUUAAAAUGUCGUGUAUCACAUCUAACAUUCAACAAAUAGCAGAACCAGGUUCAAAUCCAGAUUUUCUGACUUGGAACAGCCAAGCUACAAAGAAUGUAGAAGAGCUGGUCUGUAGACCAAGAGAAUGAAGAAGAGUUGGUCUUUAGAAACAUUAUUUGUGGUCCAUCCCCCGACCUAGUCAAUGUGUUGGUGUAUUCCCAGAGUAUAGCUAACCUUGAAAAAAUCCUUGUAAUAAUUCGAUUUCUCUGUAUAAACCAACUUAUCUACUUGUGUUUCAGCAGUACCAAUAUUACACUAAAACAUAUCUAUGACCAUCUCCCAAGACUAGUGUAGUUUAUUCUCUGAAAGAAAGAAAAAAUUAUCCCAGAGCUCACUAGAGCUACAAAAUGGGGAAUGUGGAGUUAAUGUGAGUCUCUUCAUAAAUUAUCAAAUUAUCUUGACCUUCAAGAUAAGUUCAGGCGGUGCUUCCUUCAUUCUCCUUGCCUUUCUAGUUUCUUUUUAAUUUUAUUUUUAAAUUUUCUCCUCUGUCUGAAUACCAAGGAAAUGUUUCUAAGGAGCUCCACUCUGGAGAGCAACUUGUCCAGGUCCCUUUGCUCUGUCUUCUGUAUUCAAAGCCAUCCAUAUCUUUGCCUUCAUGACCUUCAAAUUCAGUGUUUCUUAGGUAGCCUUUGAUUUGCUCUCUUCUGUUCUUCUCCUGACAGGACUAGCAAGUCAUUAGAUGCCCUCUCUGUGUAUCUGUCAAGCUAGCUGUAUUUCCCAAGUCAUAAUUGGGCCAUACGGUUUGACAUGUAUGCUUUUUGAGACAAGGGAAAAGGAUGUUAAAAUUGAGAUUGUCCCAAAUCUUCAGAUGUAUGGUCAUCAUACCUAUCUAUGUGUAUUUUGUGUCCUUUAUUCUGUGGCUGUAACUUUCCUUCACAUGAGAACAAAGGAGAGGGACUUGGAUACCCCCCAUUCCUGACUGGAUAUGCAACUUAAUUCUGUUAUGUCUUCUUAUUCAUGACACCUCUCCACAAAUGUCCUUGAAAAAGAGAGACUAGUUCAUUUAGAAGCAUCUCAGGGAUAUGUUAUCACUCUCUUUAGCAUGACUUUUCUCCAAAUUGUUGCACAUAAUAUUCAGUAAAUAUUGUGGAAUGAGUGAAUAAACAAAUUGAAAUAAGGCUGAUGUUUGUUUGUUUGUUUGUUUUCCAGCUGUAGCAUACAACUACUCUUUGUGGUUGUUAUUCUUCUGGUUUCCAUUUUUUGAUCCUUGGGUGUGCCACAAAGGUGAGGCAAAAGCUAACCCAGACCCUGAAUUUUUCUGAUAGUAUCUCUGAUAAGCUGUGAAAACUUAGUGACAUUAGAGAGAUGUCAAAGUCUUUUUUUUUUUUUUUUAGGUCUCAUAACAUUUAUUUUUUGCUUACUGAUUAAUGCAUUCAACAUGAGUUUUGGUGUUCACCUAACAUUCAUACAGUAUACCACAGGCUAGAAAUAAAAUGGUCAGUAAGCAGUGAUUACCGUGCCCUCAAGUUUCAACUCUGUUUAGUGAGUGAAACUUUAAACAAAUACUUAUGAUAAUAAAGAUUUUUUUAAAUUUUUUUAAUAUUAAUUUAUUUUAAUUGGAGGCUAAUUAGUUUACAAUAUUGUAUUGGUUUUGCCAUACAUCAACAUGAAUCUGCCAUGGGUGUACACGUGUUCCCCAUCCUGAACCCCCCUCCCACCUCCUUCCCCAUCCCAUCCCUCUGGGUCAUCCCAGUGCACCAGCCCCAAGCAUCCUGUAUCAUGCAUCAAACCUGGACCAGUGAUUCGUUU
rnacentral:lncRNA from 1 species